UACAGAGGUCCCAAGCGUUGUUCGGAUUCACUGGGCGUAAAGGGUGCGUAGGCGGUCGUGCAAGUCGGAUGUGAAAUCUCAGGGCUCAACCCUGAAACUGCAUUCGAUACUGCGCGGCUAGAGUGCUGGAGGGGAGACUGGAAUUUACGGUGUAGCAGUGAAAUGCGUAGAUAUCGUAAGGAAGACCAGUGGCGAAGGCGAGUCUCUGGGCAGCAACUGACGCUGAGGCACGAAGGCCAGGGGAGCAAACGGG
rnacentral:rRNA from 1 species